AGCUUCAGCAAAGGACGGGAGGGGACAGUCACCGCGCGCCACCACCGGGGUCCCCCUGACACCCCAGCAGUGCCAGGAGACAGCUGGCGUGUGGGCCCGAUAGGGUGACGGGGCCCUGUGGGGCCGCCAGGGCCACCUUCCCAUCCCUCACUGUCCCUCACCCCGAAGUCCCAUGCUGACCCCAGGCUGCCCAGCCCAACCUCCCGGAGACCCAGCGUGGGGACACGUGUCAGCACCGCCUUCCGGAGGAGGCAGAGCCAAGACUGAACCCCAGGACGUUUGGUCCCAGAGCGUCAGGACCAGCGCGUGCUGACAAAGCAGGACGCCCUUCCCAGGCCGUUCCUGACGCGGCUGCCCUGAGGCCACGUGCCCACGUGGCCAUCAACGGCGCUGGCCUGCACCUGCGUCAGGGGCUUGUGGUGUGACCCCGCCCUCAUCUCCCCACUGCACCCUAAGGCCCAGCUGUGCCCGGGGAGGGGGUGGGGGACGCAGGAGGCAGGGCCAGGAGGACAGAGCUCACUCGGGGUCCACACGACACGGCCCCACCAGGGUGCCUACAAGGACAUCAGCAUUUGCUCUCCGGCCGAGGGGGGCGUGUGGCUGGGGCACGGCAGCCCACCCCGCCAGACGCCCCUGCCCCACCACCCGCCAUCUCCAAAUCGCCCCCUGGAGACUCAGAGUCCCGGGUCUGGCUGAGCCUGGGGACCUGUAGGGUGGGGGGACAGGGACGCCCUCAGGGGGGACGGCAGCCCCGGCCACACCUACCGCGUGGACAUCUGUCCAUCGACACAUGGAGUCUGAGGGGCGAGAUCGACCCAAACUGGCUUCACAGAGAACACAUCCUGGAGGUCUCGGCCGGGGCCCCAGCCAGGAAAUCGUGAAAGCUGCUGUCGGAUGCGGUGGCUUCCCCCCGGGACGAAGGGGGAUGCACGCAGCAUCCGUUUUGCGUUUGUCCCCGCCUGCACCCGCCACGCACUGACUGAGCACCCCCUCACCCUGUGCUGGGCCCUGAGGACAAAGAAAUAACCAUGCCCCGGUCCUGGCCCCGGGAGGCACCCCAGCCUUGGGCGGGCGAUCAACCGCGGCCAGCAGCACGGCCAGUAGGGCCAGGGCUGGGGGCGUGAACAGGAGGCCGGAGGCCCGAGGCUGCAGUCCCAGAAUCAUAGCCAGCGGGUCUGCGCCCACGUUCACACGGAUGCGCGGCACGUCAGCACCACUCCCAGCUGACUGGGGCCAUCGUCAGGGCCGUGACCGGACAGCUCAGUGUCCAGGUCACGCGUGUUUGCGGCGCAAACCUCCCUGUGUCCGACUCCCCGUCGAGGCCUGAGCCGGCCGGGCGUUUCGUCGUGGGUGGGUGGGCUCCGUGCCCCCUGCCCACUGCAGACGGCCCGAGGGCUGCUGAGUUCCCCAACCCUGCAGAUCAUUGCCUCUCCAUCCUCUGCCCAGGGGGCUGACCCAAGUAGACCACGGCAAUGACCCCUCUCCCCGGCUCCUGGUUGAGCCCAGCCAGUGGGAACUGGGCAGGGGGUGGAAGGAAAGGCAGUGAGUGCUCAUCCCCAGGCCCCUGCUGGGGGGGACGUGGGGAGGGGGGAUGCCCGCUGGGUGGCCGUCCCUCCACUGAAGGUCACCACGUCUCUUCCGGUGCCUGCAGCCAGAGGAGGUGACAGGGCCGUCGCAGGGCCCACGCCUGGCCCACAUCCUCGUCUCUGCCGACCGCCCUCCUCAGGUUACCCUCACGUGCGUGAGCCUGAGCAUCUGUUCCCAGCUGGGACCCCGACAGACAGCUCCAGACCGCAAAAUCCACCUGGCCCUGGGCGCUCUGAAUAAGAGGCCCAGAGUUACAAAGAGGGGACAAGCCUCCACCCGCCGCCAGAGCCCUGGGCUGGCGCACCUGCAGCCCUGCGCGUGGGGCUCGGCCUGUGGCCGCGGAGACGGAAGCAUGGGAGCAGCAUCAGCCACCAGAUGCAAGGAGCCGGUGGCUGGGGGCCAGCUGUGCCCCCUGUGGACCGCGUGGGGCUGAGCAGGGCUCGGAGAGUCCACGGGGGGCCCUCCUUCCCGGGAGCGAAUGCUCCAAGGAAAGCAGAGGCUACCCAGAGCCUACACCCCGGCUUUGGAUGGCCACUCCGCUCCAGCCCAGGAGAAUGAACGGGUCCCGGGGGACCAGGACCGAGUGUCCACAGUUGGAGCAAAGAAGCCGCCCGCCUUGGGCACGAAGGCCGGCUCCCUAGGUGCCCACCACCUGCCAGCAGCCUUUCACCAUCACACCAGGCACCCUGCCCUGCAGGUGCCCGGCAUCCCAGAUGAGCCGGCUGCUGCCCUCAGCAGGACUUCCUGGAAGAGGGGGGUAUGACCAGGGUGCAGAGGAUGGGUUUGCUGGGCAGUCCCCAACCUCAAGUCCUGCUCCCCCUCAUGGUGGGGGGGGGCGGCAUCCCCCAUGUCCGGCACCAAAUUCUAGAGAGGCACACCGGCUCGAUGCUCCCUGUGUGGCCAAAACCACCCCCAGGGAAGCCUGCUCAGCCUGAGACACAGCUCCCACUCCCUGGGGGGCGGGAACAACAUAACCUUCCGUAGCCAGAAACUUCCAGCCGCAACCGUGCUAAACAGGCACAACUGGGGGCUCUCCUCCCGUGACAGGAACACGGAGUCCCCGAGCCAUCAGACAGGGGAGGGUGUGGGGCUGCGGUCAUCCCAACAGCCUCCUCCUACUCCCCAAGUCCAUCUCUGGCUCGUACCAUGGAACCUGUCUGGGCUGCAGAGUUCUGAAGAACUGAGUCUGUCCAGAGCCUCAUUCGACUCGGCCCUCAGAGUCCACAGUGCCCCCCCCGCCCCGCCCUGCUCCCCAAGGACCCAUCAGCCUGCCGCCCUAAACAGGAAGCUCGGCACACACAGGGUUAAGUCCAUCUUUCUCCCGCCACCACCACCACCACCACCACCACCACGCCUCUCAGGGUGCCAGGCCGGAUGUGCUGUCUCCAUGGUGACAGUUAUCCGGAAAGCCCUGGGAGCGACUGCAGGCUGGGGGACAAGUGUGAGCAGGCAGAUGGGUUGUUCUGACCCAGCACUCCCCAGCUGUGGAUCACAAACCGAGGCCACCUGUACCCUCCACUGCCCUGGGCCCCCCCCCCAGGCCUGUGACCCACCCAGGCCUCGCCCAGUGUCCCCAGCCAGCAAGCACCCGAGGAAGCCCCAGGGGCCUCCGUUUCACAGGCCCAUUCCUUCAGCCACAACCAGGAUGAAGCCUCCUGCAAGCUGUCCCCACCCUUAGCCCUUUAUUCUCCUGGGCACAAGCUGUCCAGGGCCCCACUCUGUCCAGGGACAUACCUUAGUGAGGGGAGAGCUGGCACCAUGGACAGGGUCUAGCCCAGGCGCCAGGGACCCGGCCCCAGCCCUUUCACACAGCCCAAAGGGCGGGGCUGUGCCCUGGGUCUCAGCAGGGUCCUGGCUGGUCUCUGAACGUGGACUCAAGAGAAUUAGUGUGCACACAACCCUGAAGCAGACCCCAAGGCUGACAGCAGCAGUGAUGUCCUUGAUGAGCUGGACACCCUGAGGGCCUUCAUCACCCCACGAGCUCACUCUAACCACCCUUCCCAGCCUCCUGUCUGUCCCGAGUCCCCUACUGUCCCAGCACCCGCUCGCCUGCUCUACACGGCUAGACCGACACCUGAGCCGGGACCGGCUUCUCCAGGCCCCCAUCUUGCCUGCCCAUGAGGCAGGCCCAACCUUUCUGGGGGCCCAGGACUCGGCACGGCAGGCCUGCAGGGCUGACCCCUCGGCCAGACUAUGGAUCUGAAGACCCCAGGGCUGGGGGAGUGGCUGCGAGGGAGCAGACCUCACACGCAGGCCUCCUUUCCGUCUUCAUUCAACAAACCUAAUCUGUGACUCCCAAGGUCAACCCUGAGCACACAGAACCUGCCUUGGCUUCAUCCAGCCCGGGGGCCCCUCAGACGGAGCCACUCCUGGGUAUCCAUCAGGGAGAGCUCUGGCCUCGUCCUACCACCAGACCCGGAUGAAGGCUUGGCCCUUGGACAGAUGUCACAGCGGGCUGGCUGCCGAGGGCCCCUCGUCCCUAUAAGACAAAUGGCCUAAAGGUGUUCAGGGUCUAGCCGGUGAGGGCCUGCAAGCAGGCAGGGCCCAGCCUCUGGGGCUCACAGCAAUGUGGGGUUCCAGAGCCCCAGGGACCCCCAGAGACUGGGAGCAGGGCGGGGAGGGCUGAGAGCCCCAGAGCCUGUGG